GACGAACGCUGGCGGCGUGCUUAACACAUGCAAGUCGAACGGAAAGGCCCUGCUUUUGUGGGGUGCUCGAGUGGCGAACGGGUGAGUAACACGUGAGUAACCUGCCCUUGACUUUGGGAUAACUUCAGGAAACUGGGGCUAAUACCGGAUAGGAGCUCCUGCUGCAUGGUGGGGGUUGGAAAGUUUCGGCGGUUGGGGAUGGACUCGCGGCUUAUCAGCUUGUUGGUGGGUUAGUGGCUUACCAAGGCUGUGACGGGUAGCCGGCCUGAGAGGGUGACCGGCCACAUGGGGACUGAGAUACGGCACAGACUCCUACGGGAGGGAAGAGGGGGGAAUAUUGCACAAUGGGCGGAAGCCAGAUGCAGCAACGCCGCGUGCGGGAUGACGGCCUUCGGGUUGUAAACCGCUUUCGCCUGUGACGAAGCGUGAGUGACGGUAAUGGGUAAAGAAGCACCGGCUAACUACGU
rnacentral:rRNA from 1 species